rnacentral:rRNA from 1 species
UACGUAGGGGGCUAGCGUUGUCCGGAAUCAUUGGGCGUAAAGCGCGCGUAGGCGGCCCGGUAAGUCCGCUCUGAAAGUCCGGGGCUCAACCCUGGAAUGCGGGUGGAUACUGCCGGGCUAGAAUCCGGAAGAGGCGAGUGGAAUUCCUGGUGUAGCGGUGGAAUGCGCAGAUAUCAGGAGGAACACCAAUAGCGAAGGCAGCUCGCUGGGACGGUAUUGACGCUAAGGCGCGAAAGCGUGGGGAGCAAACAGG